GACAGAGGGUGCAAACGUUGCUCGGAAUUACUGGGCGUAAAGCGCACGUAGUCGGCUUUGCAAGUCGGGUGUGAAAUCCCCGGGCUCAACCUGGGAACUGCAUCCGAGACUGCAUUGCUAGAGUAUGGGAGAGGGAAGCGGAAUUUCUGGUGUAGCAGUGAAAUGCGUAGAUAUCAGAAGGAACAUCAGUGGCGAAGGCGGCUUCCUGGACCAAUACUGACGAUCAGGUGCGAAAGCGUGGGGAGCAAACAGG
rnacentral:rRNA from 1 species